rnacentral:rRNA from 1 species
GACGAACGCUGGCGGCGUGCUUAACACAUGCAAGUCGAGCGAUGAAACACCUUCGGGUGCGGAUUAGCGGCGAACGGGUGAGGAACACGUGAGGAAUCUGCCUUCCACUCUGGGAUAACUCCGGGAAACCGGGGCUAAUACCGGAUACUUUCAACUGGCGGCAUCGCCGGUUGCAGAACGUUUUUCGGUGGAAGAUGACCUCGCGGCCUAUCAGCUUGUUGGGGAGGUAAAGGCUCACCAAGGCGACGACGGGUAGCCGGCCUGAGAGGGCGACCGGCCAAACUGGGACUGAGACACGGCCCAGACUCCUACGGGAGGCAGCAGUGGGGAAUAUUGGGCAAUGGAGGAAACUCUGACCCAGCGACGCAGCGUGAGGGAUGAAGGCCUUCGGGUUGUAAACUUCUUUCAGCAGGGAAUAAGCGAAAGUGAAGGAACCUGCAGAAGAAGCACCGGCUAUCUAUGUGCCAGCCGCCGCAGUAA